rnacentral:rRNA from 1 species
UACGUAGGGGGCGAGCGUUGUCCGGAUUUAUUGGGCGUAAAAGGCUUGUAGGUGGCCACGCCAAGUCGGAUGUGAAAUCUCCCGGCUCAACUGGGAGGGGUCAUUCGAUACUGGCGGGCUCGAGGCCGGUAGGGGGAAGUGGAAUUCCCGGUGUAGUGGUGGAAUGCGUAGAUAUCGGGAAGAACAUCGGUGGCGAAGGCGGCCUGCUGGGCUGUUGCUGACGCUGAGGCGCGACAGCGUGGGGAGCAAACAGG